rnacentral:rRNA from 1 species
UGGCGGUCCCGCCGCAGCUUCCAUCGCGUAGUAGCUAACACCUCGCGACUGGAGAGCGGCGCGGCCACGCCGUAAAACACCCAACUUUUCUGAAGUUGACCUCGAAUCAGGUAGGAAUACCCGCUGAACUUAAGCAUAUCAAUAAGCGGAGGAAAAGAAACCAACAGGGAUUGCCUCAGUAACGGCGAGUGAAGCGGCAACAGCUCAAAUUUGAAAUCUGGCUCUYGGGCCCGAGUUGUAAUUUGUAGAGGAUGCUUUUGGUGAGGUGCCUUCCGAGUUCCCUGGAACGGGACGCCAUAGAGGGUGAGAGCCCCGUCUGGUUGGACGCCGAACCU